rnacentral:rRNA from 1 species
UACGGGGGGAGCAAGCGUUGUUCGGAUUUACUGGGCGUAAAGGGCGCGUAGGCGGCGUGACAAGUCACUUGUGAAAUCUCCGGGCUUAACUCGGAACGGUCAAGUGAUACUGUCGUGCUAGAGUACAGAAGGGGCAACUGGAAUUCUCGGUGUAGCGGUGAAAUGCGUAGAUAUCGAGAGGAACACCUGCGGCGAAGGCGGGUUGCUGGGCUGAUACUGACGCUGAGGCGCGACAGCGUGGGGAGCAAACAGG